AUUUCAAUGAGAGUGAAAGUGGCCUGAUAUUACAUGCAGAUGUGAGUGUUUUUAAAAUCUUUUGUUUCAUUUUAUCAAAUUUAUUUAUUUAUAUAUCAUUCUAAUUUUUUUGUUCUCUUUCAGGUUUCUGCGACUGCAGCUGAUGUAGAGAAGAUGCCACAUCUACCUGCCAGCCCUCGUCUCUAUGUGGGAGGGCAGAGAACUGUACUGAACGCUGGAUGAUUACCCUAGAGAGUCGUGUUGUUUGUGAGGGCAUACAACCAAGAUUCCUGACUGCAAUAGCAACCAUGUUUGCAAUGUUCUACGUCUUCAAUCUUAAGUAUCCAGAGGAGGCAUGUGGCACCUCGGAAUUCAUUCAAAGACGAUUCGUUGGGAUAAACCCUGAAAGAGGUACGAAGACCUGCAGAGGCAAGGUGGUUUCAAAGAAGACUGGAAAACUUGUCAGCAAGAAGUCUGCCACUGUCAAUCCCAAAGUUGCUUCUCUCCUGAAGAACCUCAUCGAUUUCGAAUGGAACUUCGUCUAGAUCUGGAUUUCCUCUCAGACCAGAUGUGUUAAAAGCUGAUGUGGGACGUUUUGCCAGUUUUUUUGCCUCUUCCUACGUUUUUUCACCAAUUGGUUCUCUUGUCCUCUCAGAUCGGGAUUUCCUCUCAGGCCAGAUGUUUCAAAAGCUGAGGUGGGACGUGUUGGCUGUUUUUUGCCUCUUCCUACAGUUUUUUCACCCAUUGGAUCUCUUGUCCUCUCAGGCCAGAUCUUUUGGCUGUUUUUUGCCUCUGUCAAGGAUUUUUCAUCCAUUGGUUCCUUAAUAUUUUCCUCUCAGACUCAGAAUUCCUCUCUUGCCUGGAUGCUGAUGUGACAUGUUGAAUGUAAGGUUUCUUUGUUUGCCUACUGUUUCCUCACAUUUUACAAUGUAUUUUCUGUGACUUUUUUCCCUUAACUGUUAAUGUAUUGUUAAAACUUGUUAGCUGUUUUAAAUAAAUGGCAAACAAUACUGUACCAUAAUGUAUAUUUUCUUCAUUUUUUCCAUUGAGUAAAUAUAGGGAUGUUAAUAGAUAUCGGACAAUAGAGUAAAUAUAAAACAGUAUUUAUAUUCUAACUUUUUAUACUAUAGAAUUAUAGCUGGAACCAUUACUGCCAG